rnacentral:lncRNA from 1 species
AUAAAUUUCCAUCCCUUGGUGACCUCAGACAGCAGAAAGAACAGCAAGCACCACUUCAGUGUGCUUUCACCCAGGCACAGAAAGAUCCUGUCCUUCCAGUUUUUUAAAGAGCUGUGGCAGGGCUCUAAUGACCACUCCAUACCUAUCCACAAGAGAAGUUCUAGGUGGUUUGAGGAUACUAAAAGGGGAGAUAAUGGGCAAGUCUGGCUUACAGAAAGAAUUUGUAUCCACAUAAAGAGGGUACAGCAUGAGAAUGUUAACAGGGUAACUGUCCAUGUUAUUCACCACAGCACAGGGCUAAUAUCAGAGGCUAAAGCAGCAAAGAAAUUCUUGAACACAAAGCCAAAUCUCAAGAAGUUAGAAAAGAGAAAGGCAAAUACAAGAACUUAAUGAGAAAAUG